rnacentral:rRNA from 1 species
CCUACGGGAGGCAGCAGUGAGGAAUAUUGGUCAAUGGCCGAGAGGCUGAACCAGCCAAGUCGCGUGAGGGAUGACGGCCCUACGGGUUGUAAACCUCUUUUGUCGGGGCGCAAAGAGAGUCACGUGUGGCUCAUUGAGAGUACCCGAAGAAAAAGCAUCGGCUAACUCUGUGCCAGCAGCCGCGGUAAUACGGCGGAUGCGAGCGUUAUCCGGAUUUAUUGGGUUUAAAGGGUGCGCAGGCGGAGGUGCAAGUCAGUGGUCAAAUUGCGGGGCUCAACCCCGUACUGCCGUUGAAACUGCAGCCCUUGAGUGCGCGAGAAGUAUGCGGAAUGCGUGGGGUAGCGGUGAAAUGCAUAGAUAGCACGCAGAACUCCGAUUGCGAAGGCAGCAUACCGGCGCGCAACUGACGCUCAUGCACGAAAGCGUGGGUAUCGAACAGGAUUAGAUACCCGGGUAGUC